rnacentral:SRP_RNA from 1 species
GCCCAGGACAUGGUGUCUCCUGCCUGUAAUAUGCUGCAAGACAGGCUGAGGCUAACAGAUCUCUUGAGCUUAGGAGUUCUUGGUUGCAGUGGGCUAAGCCUAACAGAUGUCCACACUCAAUCUGGGAUUGAUAUGGUGAGACCCCAAGAUCAGAGGGCCAGUAGAUUGCCUAAGGAAAGGCAAAGAGGCCCAGGUCAGAAAUGGAACAGGUCAAAGCUUCUGUGCCAAUCAGAGUGGGAUUGAGCCUAGACCUUGCCCUUCCAGCCUGGGAGAGAUCAGGAGGCCCAU